AGAGUUUGAUCCUGGCUCAGGAUGAACGCUAGCUACAGGCUUAACACAUGCAAGUCGAGGGGAAACGACAUCGAAAGCUUGCUUUUGAUGGGCGUCGACCGGCGCACGGGUGAGUAACGCGUAUCCAACCUGCCCACCACUUGGGGAUAACCUUGCGAAAGUAAGACUAAUACCCAAUGACGUCUCUAGAAGACAUCUGAAGGAGAUUAAAGAUUUAUCGGUGAUGGAUGGGGGUGCGUCUGAUUAGCUUGUUGGCGGGGUAACGGCCACCAAGGCGACGAUCAGUAGGGGUUCUGGAGAGGAAGGUCCCCCACAUUGGAACUGAGACACGGUCCAAACUCCUACGGAGGCA
rnacentral:rRNA from 1 species